UCUAUUCUCUUCGCAGCUCCCACUUAACCGAGCCGACCGACGAGGCGACGACACGCCGGCGGCCGGCCCCGACAAUUCCUGCGACCGAUUCCUCCGCUUUCCCCGUCCCCCUUCCGCUCCGUCUCCAUUUAACCCCCCCACCCCCCCCCCCCGGGGGUCCGCCUCGCUCUCGUGACCAAGCCGCCGAUCUGCUCCGGGAGAAGUUCUCGUGAUCCCUCUCGAUCGAGCGCGAGAACGCCGGGAGGGAUCGAGCUACCUGCUCGUGUGCGUCGACGUCCAGAUCACAGCCUCAGGCCGCGUAUGCAACAAACGCAGCGAGGUCGAGAGCGAUGGAGAUGGUGCUGGUGAUCUCGCUGCCGCUGGUGGUCCUUGCCAUCAUCGUCGCCAUCGUCAUCUGCAUCAUCUGCCGCUGAAUCAUCGUUCCCUUCCAUCGCCGUCACCGGGUCGUCAGUCCCUGACUAUUUUGUAACCGUAACAUAACAGCGUGCGUGCGUGCGUCUCCACUGUCGUCGGUCCGGUGUGAAUUGUGAGUUGAGCAUUGAUCGGUUGGCCCUCUUGUCUUUUUCCUUUCUAUUUUUCUUGUACUCGAAAGUCUUAAUUUGUAACUAAGGAACUAGAGAAGCAUAGAUCUGUUGUGAACUUGGGAUUAGGCUAUCUACAGCAGUUUCUUUUUCUAGUGAUACAGUGCCCUGUAAAGUAUUGUGCUGCUCGAA